GACGAAGGGGGCUAGCGUUGUUCGGAAUUACUGGGCGUAAAGCGCGUGUAGGCGGUUGCCCAAGUCGGGUGUGAAAGCCUUGAGCUCAACUCAAGAAAUGCACUCGGUACUGGGUGACUAGAGGACCGGAGAGGAUAGUGGAAUUCCCAGUGUAGUGGUGAAAUACGUAGAGAUUGGGAAGAACACCAGUGGCGAAGGCGGCUAUCUGGACGGUACUGACGCUGAGGCGCGAAAGCGUGGGGAGCGAACAGG
rnacentral:rRNA from 1 species